rnacentral:rRNA from 1 species
ACGAACGCUGGCGGCGUGGAUAAGACAUGCAAGUCGAACGAGAGAAUUGCUAGCUUGCUAAUAAUUCUCUAGUGGCGCACGGGUGAGUAACACGUGAGUAACCUGCCCCCGAGAGCGGGAUAGCCCUGGGAAACUGGGAUUAAUACCGCAUAGUAUCGAAAGAUUAAAGCAGCAAUGCGCUUGGGGAUGGGCUCGCGGCCUAUUAGUUAGUUGGUGAGGUAACGGCUCACCAAGGCGAUGACGGGUAGCCGGUCUGAGAGGAUGUCCGGCCACACUGGAACUGAGACACGGUCCAGACACCUACGGGUGGCAGCAGUCGAGAAUCAUUCACAAUGGGGGAAACCCUGAUGGUGCGACGCCGCGUGGGGGAAUGAAGGUCUUCGGAUUGUAAACCCCUGUCAUGUGGGAGCAAAUUAAAAAGAUAGUACCACAAGAGGAAGAGACGGCUAACUCUGUGCCAGCAGCCGCGGUAAUACAGAAGUCUCAAGCGUUGUUCGGAAUCACUGGGCGUAAAGCGUGCGUAGGCUGUUUCGUAAGUCGUGUGUGAAAGGCGCGGGCUCAACCCGCGGACGGCACAUGAUACUGCGAGACUAGAGUAAUGGAGGGGGAACCGGAAUUCUCGGUGUAGCAGUGAAAUGCGUAGAUAUCGAGAGGAACACUCGUGGCGAAGGCGGGUUCCUGGACAUUAACUGACGCUGAGGCACGAAGGCCAGGGGAGCGAAAGGGAUUAGAUACCCCUGUAGUCCUGGCAGUAAACGGUGCACGCUUGGUGUGCGGGGAAUCGACCCCCUGCGUGCCGGAGCUAACGCGUUAAGCGUGCCGCCUGGGGUGUACGGUCGCAAGAUUAAAACUCAAAGAAAUUGACGGGGACCCGCACAAGCGGUGGAGUAUGUGGCUUAAUUCGAUGCAACGCGAAGAACCUUACCUGGGCUUGACAUGUAAUGAACAACAUGUGAAAGCAUGCGACUCUUCGGAGGCGUUACACAGGUGCUGCAUGGCCGUCGUCAGCUCGUGUCGUGAGAUGUUUGGUUAAGUCCAGCAACGAGCGCAACCCCUGUUGCCAGUUACCAGCACGUGAAGGUGGGGACUCUGGCGAGACUGCCCAGAUCAACUGGGAGGAAGGUGGGGACGACGUCAGGUCAGUAUGGCCCUUAUGCCCAGGGCUGCACACGUACUACAAUGCCCAGUACAGAGGGGGCCGAAGCCGCGAGGCGGAGGAAAUCCUAAAAACUGGGCCCAGUUCGGACUGUAGGCUGCAACCCGCCUACACGAAGCCGGAAUCGCUAGUAAUGGCGCAUCAGCUACGGCGCCGUGAAUACGUUCCCGGGUCUUGUACACACCGCCCGUCACAUCAUGGAAGCCGGUCGCACCCGAAGUAUCUGAAGCCAACCGCAAGGAGGCAGGGUCCUAAGGUGAGACUGGUAACUGGGAUG